rnacentral:lncRNA from 1 species
CUUUGAUGCCAAAGUCCUCUCCUGUCAGCCAGCCUGUUCACUCUUUAACACUGGCCAAAUAUUUGGUUAUUUAAAUUAUUUUUCAGGUUGCUGUUAAAAUUCUGUGAACGUCUGAACUUCAAUAUGAAACUGUUUAAAAGCCAGAUGAUUAUCCAGAAAGAUGAUUGUCUCCAUUUGCAGUCAGAGUGCGAUGUUAAUUACAAACCUCCUCAUGGGAACAAGCACCUUUUGUCAGAGGUCCUACCCAGGACAUUGUAACCCUGGGCUCUCAAUCCUCUGCCCAUCCCAGCACGAGACAACCAGGGCCCAAAUAUUCUUAAAACCUCAUGUAGCCAAAUACUCUGGAUGGGCACAAUUCUCCAGCUUUCUGUUGAGUUUUGGACCAGCAGAAGAAAUCCAAGAAAAAAUAUUGGCUGAGAAUGGUCAGAGGGUGCCUCCAUCCUGUACAUGCUGCCAUGACAUUUGGGCACAAGACUUACCAGCUAGAAGUGAACAGAAGUAUUUGCAUAUUUGCUGAGUGGAAUAAUCAAAAGGUUAUCAGUGAAACUUCUAUCCUUGUCUAGCUCUCAAUUUUCAUGAAUUUUUUAAUAAAGAUUGAAGUAUUUUUUUUUAAUCA